rfam:Callithrix jacchus chromosome 1, whole genome shotgun sequence
UACUCCGACCUUGCUGCCCUUCUCCUUUGUCACUGUGGAGAAACAGGAAGGAAUGUUUGUUAGCAAGACUGACUGGGGUCACACCCAAGGCAAUUUCAGAUUUUUACCUCUCCCGGCCCUGGGAAGAGGUUCAAGGAUCAAGGACAAGCU